rnacentral:rRNA from 1 species
GGAAACUAGCAUAUCAAUAAGCGGAGKAAAAGAAACUAACAGGAUUCCCCUAGUAACUGCGAGUGAAGCGGGAAAAGCUCAAAUUUAAAAUCUGGUGGCCUUUGGUCAUCCGAGUUGUAAUUUAGAGAAGCGUCUUCCGCGCUGGACCGUGCACAAGUCUCCUGGAAUGGAGCGUCGUAGAGGGUGAGAAUCCCGUCUUUGGCACGGACGCCCAGUGCUUCUGUGAUGCGCUCUCGAAGAGUCGAGUUGUUUGGGAAUGCAGCUCAAAAUGGGUGGUGAACUCCAUCUAAAGCUAAAUAUUGGCGAGAGACCGAUAGCGAACAAGUACCGUGAGGGAAAGAUGAAAAGCACUUUGGAAAGAGAGUGAAACAGUACGUGAAAUUGUUGAAAGGGAAACGCUUGAAGUCAGUCGCGUCGUCCGAGACUCAGCCUCGCCUCGGCUUGGUGUACUUCUCGGCCGACGGGUCAGCAUCAAUUUUGCCCCUUGGAUAAUGGCGAGGGAAAUGUGACACCUUUGCGGGUGUGUUAUAGUCUCUAGUCGCAUGCAAGGGUCGGGAUUGAGGAACUCAGCACGCGCCUUCGGGCGUCGGGGUUCGCCCACGAUACGUGCUUAGGAUGUUGGCGUAAUGGCUUUAAACGACCCGUCUUGAAACACGGACCAAGGAGUCUAACAUGCCCGCGAGUGUUCGGGUGGAAAACCCGUGCGCGCAAUGAAAGUGAAAGUUGGGACCUCCGUCGUGGAGGGCACCAACGCCCGGACCAGACCUUCUGUGACGGAUCUGCGGUAGAGCGUGUAUGUUAGGACCCGAAAGAUGGUGAACUAUGCCUGAAUAGGGUGAAGCCAGAGGAAACUCUGGUGGAGGCUCGUAGCGAUUCUGACGUGCAAAUCGAUCGUCAAAUUUGGGUAUAGGGGCGAAAGACUARUCGAWCC